GGCCAGCCUGAACGCCGUGGGCAGUCGUUAGGCUGACUUACAGACGCACGAGUUCUGCGACGCGUCCGUCGGAUAACAGGUUCGGCAAGACGACCUUGCUUCAUACUCAUCUCAACUCCAGCUCAGCUUCGGACGUGGCGGUAACCUAACACUGGGUUGUCAAAAGGCAGCCAGGCAGAAGUCGACGAAGCUUUCGAUCGGUUCAUGCGCUGUGGGUCUCAGUGUGAAUGAUUGUAGGCUUCUCUACAUUAUUGUGCAAAUUCAGAGGAGUGUUAUUCGAGAGUUUUUGUUUGUAGGGAAGAGGUUUCCGAUCCAUGGCGGCGACAGACAUACCUCUUGCACUAGAGCAGCAGCAGAAGAAGAAGAAGCCAGCGCCUGGGCGAGGCGGUGUUACGGCGACACUCAGCGAGGAUGAAGCGCUAUUGCGUUGUAUUGGGGAGAUUGUGGAUGCGAUGGUUCAGGGGUGCCGGAAAGGGGAGAGUGUGGACUUGAAUGCGCUCAAAUCGGAAGCGUGCAAACGUUACGGUCUUUCUCGGGCUCCCAAGCUGGUGGAGCUGAUUGCUGCGUUGCCUGAGUCCGAGAGGGAGAUGGUCUUGCCUAGGUGCUAUGAAGCUAUGAAUCGUAUGACUUGCGUCCCGUCGUCGAAUUUUCCUCCUUUCCAAUAGAGGAAUUGCAAAGCAGAGUUGCUUAGGGUUCAGAUUAUUUCGGUUCACCUGGUGGUAUCGUGUUUACGUUGGCAAUUUUGUUCGAUUUUAGGUUGCGAGCAAAGCCAGUGAGAACUGCGUCAGGAAUUGCGGUGUUAGCUGUGAUAUCGAAGCCGCACCGAUGCCCUCACAUUGCAACGACGGGAAAUAUUUUUGUUUAGUGCCCUGGAGGAUCGGAUUCUGAUUUUGAGUAUAGUACUCAAUUAUAUACUGGUUACGGACCAACUAGUAUGCGAGCAAUUAGGGCUAGGUAUAAUCCUUAUGUUCAAGCUCGCGGCCGGAUCGACCUGCUGAAGAGGCUUGGUCAGAGUGUAGAUAAGGUGGAGUUUAUCUUGAUGGGAGGAACGUUUAUGUCUGCCCGCUGUCUGGGACUAUUUUAUUCGCAAUUUACACUACGCUCUAUCUGGGCACACCUCGCAUGACGUGGACGAAGCUGUACCUUACUCAGAACAUGGAAACGUUAAAUGCAUCGGCCUCACUAUUGAAACGAGACCUGAUUACUGCAUUGGUUCACAUUUGCGUCAGAUGUUGACGUAUGGCUGCACCCGCCCAGAAAUUGGUGUACAAAACACCUACGAAGAUGUGGCACGGGAUACCAAUAGGGGACACACAGUUGCCACUGUUGAAGAUUGUUUCCGCCUUGCUAAAGAUGCAGGUUUUAAGAUUGUUGCAAACAUGAUGCCAAAUCUUCCCAAUGUGGAUAUGGAGAGAGAUAUGGAAAGCUUCAGGGAAUUUUUUGAGAAUCCUGCAUUUCGCACGGAUGGUCUUAAGUUGUACCUCACGGUACCGUAAUUAUCCACCAGAACGGUUGGUAGACUUGGUAGCACGAGUGCUGGCCCUGGUACCACCAUGGACUCGUGUAUAUCGGAUUCAAAGAGACAUUCCUAUGCCGCUUGUCACUUCACGUGUAGAAAAAGGUAAUUUGCGGGAGUUAUCAUUAGCACGCAUGGACGAUCUAGGAUUGAAGUGUCAAGAUGUGCGAACCCUAGAGGUAGGAAUUCAGGUCAAUAUUCUUAGCACUCAUGAAUUUUCCACUGCCUUCACGUAGCAGCACUGCAUUGGACAAAGUGAUGCAGGAUUUCUGAUUCCGUGAAGCACAAAUGGCCGGGGAAACCAACACGUUUGGUGCGACAGGACAUACAUCAUAAGAUCAAAUCUAAGGAAGUCGAGCUCGUCCGACGAGAUUAUGUUGCGAAUGAAGGUUGGGAGACGUUUCUAUCAUACGAAGACACUCGCCAGGAUAUCUUAGUAGGAUUGCUACGACUUCGCUAAUGUGGACGCAAUACCACGUGCCCUGAGCUGAUGGAAAGGUGUUCUGUGGUGCGAGAGCUUCAUGUUUAUGGAACUGCUGUCCCUGUCCAUGGUCGAGAAACUGACAAGCUGCAACAUCAGGAUUAUGGUUCGCUGCUGACGGAAGAAGCCGAGAGGAUCUCUUUCACAGAGAAUUGGUCAACGAAGUUGGCAGUUAUUUCUGGUGUUGGUACUCGCCAUUACUACAGAAAGCUUAGAUGUGAGUUGGAGGGUCCAUACGUGGUUAGAGAGUGCCAUCUUUCCACCUUUAUUACCAUUGCAGUAUUGAAGACCAAUGAGCCCAGAAGAUUACUGUCGAAUUUGAUGUAAGACCUUUCAGCGGGAUCUAGUAACACCCACUGAUCUUAUAACCUUAGAUAGCCAAUGGUGACCAUUGUUACACGCAAGUCUACCACUCUACUUUUAAUGGAGGUUUGUGUCGUCGUAAAUAAGUUACACCUUAAUUAUCAUCCUUGAAAACAUCCUUGAAAA